CUCUCGUCAUCAUCUUCCUCGAUCUCCAUUGCUGAUUUCAUCUUCAAACUCAAGCUGAGAAACAACUUUAAUAUAUAGUUUAGUGCAAGAUAUUCUCUUGAGAUGUUAAUUUGGAGGUUGUGAUCAGGUUUCAGGAAAGAUUGUUGGAUCCAAAAGAAGCAAGCCGGUAAACCGAAGAGUAUUAGAUUCGACGUUAUGACUGUUACCGUUCCUGAAUUUAUCUUGGCUGAUGAAUAUUCAUAGUUUAAAUUUUUUUCAUUUCCAUAAUGUGCUCUAUUGAUUGAAUUUUUACAGAUUUAGUCCCAAUUGUGGCCAAGAUAUAGAGUUUCAUAAUUACUUUGAUUCUCCUCUCUUUUACGAUUUCUUCCAGGCGGUGGAUCUCUAGGUAUAAAAAGCAAAAGCUUAGGAGGAACGAAAGGGACGUCCUAACGACCGACCUAUUAUUGAUCAUGAUGGUCUUCCGAGACAACACUCAUCGAAUCAGGAUAUGGAUAAAAUGAAGACAAGAUACGAGCUUUUAGCUGAAGAAAGAGAUUAAAAGCGUUGAAGAAUGUCAUACCGCGGCAAGAAGUGGA